rnacentral:rRNA from 1 species
GAUGAACGCUGGCGGCGUGCCUAAUACAUGCAAGUCGAGCGAACGGACGAGAAGCUUGCUUCUCUGAUGUUAGCGGCGGACGGGUGAGUAACACGUGGAUAACCUACCUAUAAGACUGGGAUAACUUCGGGAAACCGGAGCUAAUACCGGAUAAUAUUUUGAACCGCAUGGUUCAAAAGUGAAAGACGGUCUUGCUGUCACUUAUAGAUGGAUCCGCGCUGCAUUAGCUAGUUGGUGAGGUAACGGCUUACCAAGGCAACGAUGCAUAGCCGACCUGAGAGGGUGAUCGGCCACACUGGAACUGAGACACGGUCCAGACUCCUACGGGAGGCAGCAGUAGGGAAUCUUCCGCAAUGGGCGAAAGCCUGACGGAGCAACGCCGCGUGAGUGAUGAAGGUCUUCGGAUCGUAAAACUCUGUCAUUAGGGAAGAACAUAUGUGUAAGUAACUGUGCACAUCUUGACGGUACCUAAUCAGAAAGCCACGGCUAACUACGUG